UCUGGUCUGGUGAAAAGAAUUAUGGUAUUGCCUAAAGCAAUAAGGAUACAAGUGAUGAUGAUUUCAAAUGUGGCAAAAAAUAAGGCAUGAACAGAAUUUCUAUGAAACAGGAUUUCUCAAAUGGAUUGAACUUGCAGUUAUUAUCCUGUACUCUGUGUAUCAAAGUAAACAGUACUGUAUCCUCUAGCAUUUUCCAGUAUAUCUAGUGCCUGAGACAUCAUAUUAUAGAUUAAUGAUGCAUUCUCCUGUAGUGAACCAAGCCUGUUUCAUUUUUUAUGCAUAGCCAUUCUCUCUCCAUGGGCUCCACUGAGGAUGUUGUGUCACAUGAGGGAAUUGUGUGAAUAAUCUUGUCUUCCUUUUGUCUGUGCUUAGUGCGAUUCCUGGUGAGUCCUGGAGAUGCAUGGUAAUUCACAGGGCUGUUUCAGGGGACUACAUGGAGCUUUGGCUGAUUGAGGCCAGCCACAAAAGAAAAAUCUCUGCUAAAGUGCAGCUGCCUCCUUCUCAAGGUCUACUGAAAGACAAAGGAAAUCAGCUUCAUUUGCUGUAUGCCAUUCACAACUCCAGAGCGAGGCUAUAAUGAAAGCAGGAUUCUUCGAGGAGACAUUAGACCAAGAAAAAGCCAUCUAUAUAAAGCGCCGCUCCUCCAUACAAAUGGCUUUGAAGCAGCUGCUUUCAUCCUGCAGCAGCAGAACGGGUGUAGCAGUGGAAGACGUUGGACUUUGGAUCGGAGGGCUGUGAGUUCAAAUCCCAGUACUGCCAAGCUGCCGCUGCUUAACCCUCAACUGCUCAGUUGUAUAAAUGAGAUAAAUGCAAAUUCUGUCAAAUGCCAUUAAUGUAAACUUAAUGUGUGUGGACACACAAGUUAAGAUCGAUCAUUAGCAGGUCACAUGAAAUAUUAUGUAUAUAGGCUCAAUAACUUACCUAAAACUCCCACAUUGUCUAUAUUUUUUGUUCUGCAUUCUAAACUUGGUCAAUGCUUACAAUAUGUUUUGAUUUUGGUGGGAGAAAUGAGUGUAAGUGCAAAGUGCAAAACCUGUUUUCCCACAGGACGUAAUGGAAUCUUUACCGACAUGUCAAUUUGGACAGGAUAUAUAUUGGAUUGGGUCAUUUCUUCUGAUCACUUUAUACAUGGCAUAAUAUGGUGGAAUCGUUCCAGAUGUGUGAAUGCACAGUCUGUAAAAAAUUACUGAUAUUACGGACAUCAGAUUCGGAUAAUAUAAGCCCACCAGUUCACCUUUUCACUAUUUAGGUAAGCAAAGGACACAUUUAGAAGGGAUUA